rnacentral:rRNA from 1 species
GACGAACGCUGGCGGCGUGCCUAAUACAUGCAAGUUGAGCGAUGAAGAUUGGUGCUUGCACCAAUUUGAAGAGCAGCGAACGGGUGAGUAACGCGUGGGGAAUCUGCCUUUGAGCGGGGGACAACAUUUGGAAACGAAUGCUAAUACCGCAUAACAACUUUAAACAUAAGUUUUAAGUUUGAAAGAUGCAAUUGCAUCACUCAAAGAUGAUCCCGCGUUGUAUUAGCUAGUUGGUGAGGUAAAGGCUCACCAAGGCGAUGAUACAUAGCCGACCUGAGAGGGUGAUCGGCCACAUUGGGACUGAGACACGGCCCAAACUCCUACGGGAGGCAGCAGUAGGGAAUCUUCGGCAAUGGACGAAAGUCUGACCGAGCAACGCCGCGUGAGUGAAGAAGGUUUUCGGUUCGUAAAACUCUGUUGGUAGAGAAGAACGUUGGUGAGAGUGGAAAGCUCAUCAAGUGACGGUAACUACCCAGAAAGGGACGGCUAACUACGUG